rfam:Puccinia sorghi strain RO10H11247 Scaffold_1154, whole genome shotgun sequence.
GGCCGAUUAGCUCAGUUGGUUAGAGCGCCGUACUAAUACUCUUCGGGGUUGUUAUGCGGAUGUCAUGGGUUCGACCCCCAUAUUGACCA